rnacentral:rRNA from 1 species
UGGCGGCAUGCCUUACACAUGCAAGUCGAACGGCAGCACGGAGCUUGCUCUGGUGGCGAGUGGCGAACGGGUGAGUAAUAUAUCGGAACGUACCCUGGAGUGGGGGAUAACGUAGCGAAAGUUACGCUAAUACCGCAUACGAUCUAAGGAUGAAAGUGGGGGAUCGCAAGACCUCAUGCUCGUGGAGCGGCCGAUAUCUGAUUAGCUAGUUGGUAGGGUAAAAGCCUACCAAGGCAUCGAUCAGUAGCUGGUCUGAGAGGACGACCAGCCACACUGGAACUGAGACACGGUCCAGACUCCUACGGGAGGCAGCAGUGGGGAAUUUUGGACAAUGGGCGAAAGCCUGAUCCAGCAAUGCCGCGUGAGUGAAGAAGGCCUUCGGGUUGUAAAGCUCUUUUGUCAGGGAAGAAACGGUGAGAGCUAAUAUCUUUUGCUAAUGACGGUACCUGAAGAAUAAGCACCGGCUAACUACGUGCCAGCAGCCGCGGUAAUACGUAGGGUGCAAGCGUUAAUCGGAAUUACUGGGCGUAAAGCGUGCGCAGGCGGUUUUGUAAGUCUGAUGUGAAAUCCCCGGGCUCAACCUGGGAAUUGCAUUGGAGACUGCAAGGCUAGAAUCUGGCAGAGGGGGGUAGAAUUCCACGUGUAGCAGUGAAAUGCGUAGAUAUGUGGAGGAACACCGAUGGCGAAGGCAGCCCCCUGGGUCAAGAUUGACGCUCAUGCACGAAAGCGUGGGGAGCAAACAGGAUUAGAUACCCUGGUAGUCCACGCCCUAAACGAUGUCUACUAGUUGUCGGGUCUUAAUUGACUUGGUAACGCAGCUAACGCGUGAAGUAGACCGCCUGGGGAGUACGGUCGCAAGAUUAAAACUCAAAGGAAUUGACGGGGACCCGCACAAGCGGUGGAUGAUGUGGAUUAAUUCGAUGCAACGCGAAAAACCUUACCUACCCUUGACAUGGAUGGAA